rnacentral:rRNA from 1 species
GGCGGCAUGCUUAACACAUGCAAGUCGAACGGUAACAGGUCUAGCUUGCUAGAUGCUGACGAGUGGCGGACGGGUGAGUAACGCGUGGGAAUCUGCCUUCUAGGUGGGGGAUAGCCCGGAGAAAUCCGGAUUAAUACCGCAUACGCCCUACGGGGGAAAGCCGGGGGAUCUUCGGACCUGGCGCUAGUAGAUGAGCCCGCGUGAGAUUAGCUUGUUGGUGGGGUAAUGGCCUACCAAGGCAACGAUCUCUAGCUGGUCUGAGAGGACGAUCAGCCACACUGGGACUGAGACACGGCCCAGACUCCUACGGGAGGCAGCAGUGGGGAAUAUUGGACAAUGGGCGAAAGCCUGAUCCAGCAAUGCCGCGUGUGUGAAGAAGGCCUGAGGGUUGUAAAGCACUCUCAAUCGUGAAGAAAAGUUGCAGGCUAAUACCCUGUGACCUUGACGUUAACGAUACAAGAAGCACCGGCUAACUCCGUG